CACAACGUUGCCUCAACGUAGCGACCUUCCUACAACGUUGUACCAACCUUGCAAAAAGGUUGAGGAUUCUACGUUGUUGCUAAACGUUGUCACAACGAUGUCAUAAGGUUGCCAUUUAAACAUCACGAGGGCCGCAUACUUUAGGUUGUGCUCAGGUGGCGUGGACAACCACUGUACAACAUUUACUGGUCACAGCUGAAUCAGUUUAAAUUUCAACAAGCCGUCGUCUCAUUCAUCAACGACCGAGGAGACGCUAUUUUCACAUGGAGAAUUUUUUCAGCUGUUGAAUUCACCUCAGAUCAGUGUUGCUGUAAUUCCUGAUCUAUGGAAAGAAUAAUUGAAUAAGGUAAGAAGUAUACUACUCUAUUUACUAUUAAAUGUAGUUAUGUUACCUAAAACAGCAUGUUCAUAAUGUGGAAAAUAG